rnacentral:rRNA from 1 species
AUACGUAGGCGGCAAGCGUUGUCCGGAUUUAUUGGGCGUAAAGCGAGCGCAGGCGGUUUCUUAAGGCUGAUGUGAAAGCCCCCGGCUCAACCGGGGAGGGUCAUUGGAAACUGGGAGACUUGAGUGCAGAAGAGGAGAGUGGAAUUCCAUGUGUAGCGGUGAAAUGCGUAGAUAUAUGGAGGAACACCAGUGGCGAAGGCGACUCUCUGGUCUGUAACUGACGCUGAGGCUCGAAAGCGUGGGGAGCAAACAGGAUUAGAUACCCUGGUAGUCCACGCCGUAAACGAUGAGUGCUAAGUGUUGGAGGGUUUCCGCCCUUCAGUGCUGCAGCUAACGCAUUAAGCACUCCGCCUGGGGAGUACGACCGCAAGGUUGAAACUCAAAGGAAUUGACGGGG